rnacentral:rRNA from 1 species
CCUACGGGAGGCAGCAGUGGGGAAUAUUGGACAAUGGGGGGAACCCUGAUCCAGCGACGCCGCGUGAGUGAAGAAGUAUUUCGGUAUGUAAAGCUCUAUCAGCAGGGAAGAAAGAAAUGACGGUACCUGACUACGAAGCCCCAGCUAACUACGUGCCAGCAGCCGCGGUAAUACGUAGGGGGCAAGCGUUAUCCGGAUUUACUGGGUGUAAAGGGAGCGUAGACGGCGAUGCAAGUCUGAAGUGAAAGGCGGGGGCCCAACCCCUGGACUGCUUUGGAAACUGUAUGGCUGGAGUGCAGGAGAGGUAAGUGGAAUUCCUAGUGUAGCGGUGAAAUGCGUAGAUAUUAGGAGGAACACCAGUGGCGAAGGCGGCUUACUGGACUGUAACUGACGUUGAGGCUCGAAAGCGUGGGGAGCAAACAGGAUUAGAUACCCCAGUAGUC